UUAAUUGAAGCCAAAAUAGAGGCUAAUCAUUGUUAAUGAUUUCAUUGAAUAUUAAUUCCAAUUAAA
rnacentral:tRNA from 1 species